GGAAGAUUUAUGCUCUCUGUCCCAUUUGUAUGGGCUUCCACUGACAGGAGGUGUUCCCCGCUCCAGAAGAAGAGUUCUCCCACACAGCCGACCCACGUAGCAGGCAGGGAUGUCCUCAGAUAAUUUUAGCCAGCUGACGGCCCUCUGUGUUCCUACCUUACAUCUGUUCCUCCUUUUGUUUCUCAUUUCUGUUAACUGUAUUGUUUAUUGUCUCCGAAUAAUCUCAAACAUGUGCUUCUGCAAGGAACGAAGUCGUUUGAGAGAAACUCGUGUUAGAACCAGACCACAAGUCUCAGUGCAUAGAGUUUUGGACCCCACUGACUAUCACUGUAUGGAAAAAAGGUCUUCAAAAUAUCUUCUUUUGUGUUCUGCUAAAGAAACAAAGUCAGGUUUGGAACUAAGUGAAGGUGAACUAUGAACGAUUACUUUAAUAACAUUAAUUCUCCACUAAUUUGACCCUGGAUACCUGAUCUUUGCCUGAAAUCUCAUGAUCGCACAUUCAUUUCUGCACAUGGCACAUCAGGGAAAACCUCACAGAGAGCUCACAUUCAUCACAAGUCGAGCACAUCCUGCCUGGAGUCCGUUGCAGGAAAGAGUGGGUCACCGCAGCAUUAUGUAAUGGGCUCUUUGCUGUCAUGGCAACGCUGUGGGAACUGGAACUGUGUAUUCGUGUGGCAGGAGGCUGCGGCAUGUGUUGACAGAACGUUCCUCACGUUGGGUUCCUGGAUGGGCCAGACUAUAAACACUCAGUCAAGGAGUUCCUUCUCUUCCGCAGUUUGGGUUUGGAGUCUUGCGCAGGCAAAGCCAGUCUGAAGUUUCCAUCCUUCAGCGUGGAGCAGCACUUUCCUGAACUCCAGCCAGGAAAAUGUGUGUCGGCUUGGCAGCUCGACUGUGGGAAGACUAUGGGCAAAAACUGGUGGAGUUUUGCGGCAAAUGGCUUUAUAUAGCCUUACAGCUCCUUGGGACUCCCUCUUUGGUGUAGACAGAGCGAUAGAGGAAGAAGUCUGGCCUCCUCCUCCUGUUUUCUUUGUUAUCUACUCUACACGACUUCCUGCAUGAGCACUGAGGCAGGCCUGUCCACUCAGAGAGAGACUCCCACGUCAGGUUCGUAUUAUGAGUGAACAACUGUGGGCUGAACAACCAAUCAGUCAUAGAUUCACCCAGCCAUUCCCUGCUGGAUGGAAGCGCAUCCGACCAGAGACGUCUGCAAGGAAAUG